rnacentral:rRNA from 1 species
AGUGAACGCUGGCGGUAGGCCUAACACAUGCAAGUCGAACGGCAGCACAGUAAGAGCUUGCUCUUACGGGUGGCGAGUGGCGGACGGGUGAGGAAUACAUCGGAAUCUACUUUUUCGUGGGGGAUAACGUAGGGAAACUUACGCUAAUACCGCAUACGACCUACGGGUGAAAGCAGGGGAUCUUCGGACCUUGCGCGAUUGAAUGAGCCGAUGUCGGAUUAGCUAGUUGGCGGGGUAAAGGCCCACCAAGGCGACGAUCCGUAGCUGGUCUGAGAGGAUGAUCGGCCAACCUGGAACUGAGAACCGUCCCAGCUCCCAACGGAGGCAGCAGUGGGGAAUAUUGGACAAUGGGCGCAAGCCUGAUCCAGCCAUACCGCGUGGGUGAAGAAGGCCUUCGGGUUGUAAAGCCCUUUUGUUGGGAAAGAAAAGCAGCAGGUUAAUACCCCGCUGUUCUGACGGUACCCAAAGAAUAAGCACCGGCUAACUUCGUG